rnacentral:rRNA from 1 species
UACGGGGGGGGCAAGCGUUGUUCGGAAUUACUGGGCGUAAAGGGCUCGUAGGUGGCCAACUAAGUCAGACGUGAAAUCCCUCAGCUUAACUGGGGAACUGCGUCUGAUACUGGAUGGCUUGAGUUUGGGAGAGGGAUGCGGAAUUCCAGGUGUAGCGGUGAAAUGCGUAGAUAUCUGGAGGAACACCGGUGGCGAAGGCGGCAUCCUGGACCGGUAUUGACGCUGAGGCGCGAAAGCUAGGGUAGCAAACGGG